GUUUGAUCCUGGCUCAGAGCGAACGUUAGCGGCAGGCUUAACACAUGCAAGUCGAGCGAGAAAGGGGCUUCGGCUCCGAGUAAAGCGGCGGACGGGUGCGUAACACGUGGAUAAUCUGCCUCGUGGCGGGGGACAACAGUCCGAAAGGACUGCUAAUACCGCAUGUCAGGUCGGAAACUCCGGUUUCUGACGAAAAAGAGGGCACCCGCAAGGGGCUCUCACCACGAGAUGAGUCCGCGUCCCAUCAGCUAGUUGGCGGUGUAAUAGACCACCAAGGCUUAGACGGGUAGCUGGUCUGAGAGGAUGACCAGCCACACUGGGACUGAGACACGGCCCAGACUCCUACGGGAGGCAGCAGUGGGGAAUAUUGGACAAUGGGCGAAAGCCUGAUCCAGCCAUGCCGCGUGAGUGAUGAAGGCCUUCGGUCGUAAGACUCUGUGGG
rnacentral:rRNA from 1 species